UACUCUUAUUAAACCAAAACCUACAACAACACUCCUCAUCUGAGAUCUUCCUCGAUCGCCGGGUUUUCCCCGCUGUUGAUGCUUCUGAGCCCAAAGGUAUCCAACGGCGGCAGGCAGGCCCUGACUUGCCUUUUGGGCUUUCCUCCUAUGACAUGAGUUCUCUCCGCGAUCGCACCAAGGACAUUCUCAGUGUCGUCGUCGCCUUGCUU
rnacentral:misc_RNA from 1 species